rnacentral:rRNA from 1 species
CAAUAGCGUAUAUUAAAGUUGUUGCAGUUAAAAAGCUCGUAGUUGAAUUUCGGGGCUCCGGCGCAACCACUUCAUUGUGGGUGCACGGCGUCCCUCCUCGCCUUUGGCGUCAUUUACUGUGAAAAAAUUAGAGUGUUCAAAGCAGGCAAACGCUUGAAUACAUUAGCAUGGAAUAAUAAGAUAGGAUUGCGUCUAUUUUGUUGGUUGCGGACGACAAUAAUGAUUAAUAGGGAUAGUUGGGGGUGUCCGUAUUGAGCUGUCAGAGGUGAAAUUCUUGGAUUUGCUCAAGACGAACUACUGCGAAAGCAUUCACCAAGGAUGUUUNCAUUAA